rnacentral:rRNA from 1 species
UACGUAGGGGGCAAGCGUUGUCCGGAAUUAUUGGGCGUAAAGCGCGUGUAGGCGGCUCGGUAAGUCUGCUGUGAAAGUCCAGGGCUCAACCCUGGAAUGCCGGUGGAUACUGUCGAGCUCGAGUCCGGAAGAGGCGAGUGGAAUUCCUGGUGUAGCGGUGAAAUGCGCAGAUAUCAGGAGGAACACCAAUGGCGAAGGCGGCUCACUGGGCCGGUCCUGACGCUCAGGCGCGAAAGCGUGGGGAGCGAUCCGG